GACGAACGCUGGCGGCGUGCCUAAUACAUGCAAGUCGAACGAACAGGCGCUAAUCUUGGUGUACUGAUGUUAGCAGCGGACGGGUGAGUAACACGUGGAUAACUUACCUAUACGACUGGAAUAACUUCGGCAAACCGGAGCUAAUACCAGAUAAUAUUUUUAACCGCAUGGUUCAAAAGUGUAAUAGGGUCUUGCUGUCACUUAUAGCUGUAUCCUCGGUGCAUUGGCUAGUUGGUAAGGUAACGGCUUAGGAAGGCAACGAUGCAUAGCCGACCUGAGAGGGUGAUCCGGCACGCUGGAACGGAGACACGGUACAGACCUGUACGAGAGGCCACAGUACGGCAUCUUGCGGAAGGGGGGAAUGCUGGACGGAGCACGGAAGCGUGAGUGAUGAAGGUCUCCGGAUGGUAGAACGCUGUUAUUAGGGAAGCACAUAUGUGUAAGUACCUGUGCACAUCUUGACGGUACCUAGUCAGAAAGCCACGGCUAACUACGUG
rnacentral:rRNA from 1 species